CACCAUGUCUACAGCAGGGGGAUAGAAGAAUAAGAGAUCAUUAUUCUAGGUCUUUCCCAUUGUAGGCCUGGCUUGACAUAAGUAAUUGGACAUGGGCGAGGCCUCAUUUCUUGCAAGACAGGAUUAAGGAGACAGAGAAGUUCACUUUGUAACCAGUGUGUUUAAGAUCCUUUUACUUAGCUGUAUGAAAAGUGCUCGCACUCAAAGGAAGAACUCAGAGACAGUGGGAAAAUGUUUGAGAGGUUCCCAGGUGUAACAUUUUAAAAAGAAAAAAAAAUGUUUCUAGAAAUAACAAAGACUAAGAUGCGCUGUAAGAAAGCCUGCCAUCAGUGUCAUUCUGAAAAGAACCAGCCUAGAAGAUAGUGGGAUGAGUUGUUUCUCUCUGCCAUAGAAGCAGCCUGUUUUGUCUCUCCCAGUUUUGGGGUUCUUCUCUGUUAUAGUUCUGAAUUCCAAGAAAUAAAGUAGUUACA